AAAAAAAAAGGUGUCAAAAUCUACAUACAUUAAGGACUAUCACAUAGUCCAAACUCUGAAAAAGAAGAUUUGGAGAAAUGAAAAACGCUAACAGCACCUCUAAAACAAGUUAUACUUCUUUUGUUUUUUCUUGCAUCUCAGACACCAAUAACAAAGACAAAAGAUACGGAAUCCAACUCAUUUGGAUCCAAAUUAUUAAAAGCUGAAAAGGGCAAUAACGUUUUGUAAUGUAAAAGAAAACCCAAAAUCAUUUUCUUGAAUGGUGCCGCAAAACGGCUCCUUUAUUAGUGUUUCGUUACCUUUUGGAUCAAAGAUGAAUGAGGGCGAUUUACUUCUCUCUCUUGGUCUGUAGUCUUUUGUGUCUAAAACUUCUAAUAUAAUAACCAAACCAAAAUAGUUUCAAAAUGACAGUGCGUCACCGCUUACGAUGAAUUUUAAAAAAGAAAUUUUUUUUUUAAUAUUUUGACGGAAAAUGCUUAGUGUUACAGGCUUAACAAUGGGGUGAAGGGUAGUUUCGGUAUUGUGUUGUGAACGGCAGUGCGUAGGCAAGGUGAGCCGUGAGGAGCUGAUUUGUCGACAAUAUUCAGUGACAAAAAAUGCAGCACUGAUUUGGCAGCAUCGCAAUCACUAAAUAAAUUGUUCAGCUUUUUACUAUUAUUAAUAUAUUAUGAUUGAUAAUUGUUUAUUAUUAUUAUUUUGAAGAAAGUUUCGGUUUUACUUUUGAAGAAAGGCAAACAGAAAGUGGAAGUAAUGAUGUGUUUUGUAAAGAAAAGAUUUUCAAUUUCGCUAUAAAAAUUAGAGUUUAUUUUAAGAAAAAUAUUUUAGAAAGUUUUUCAAUUACGUUUGCAAGUAUUAUGGACAAUUUAUUUAUAUUAAAAUCAAGGUACCGAGUAUAAAAAAAAAA
rnacentral:lncRNA from 1 species